rnacentral:rRNA from 1 species
UACGUAGGGGGCAAGCGUUGUCCGGAUUUAUUGGGCGUAAAGAGCGUGUAGGCGGCUAGAUAGGUCCGUUGUGAAAACUCGAGGCUCAACCUCGAGACGUCGAUGGAAACCAUCUGGCUAGAGUCCGGAAGAGGCGAGUGGAAUUCCUGGUGUAGCGGUGAAAUGCGCAGAUAUCAGGAAGAACACCCGUGGCUAAGGCGGCUCUCUAGUACGGUACUGACGCUGAGACGCGAAAGCGUGGGGAGCGAACAGG